rnacentral:rRNA from 1 species
AGAGUUUGAUCCUGGCUCAGAACGAACGCUGGCGGCAGGCUUAACACAUGCAAGUUGAACGGGAUUGUUAAGUAGCUUGCUAUUUAACAAGAGAGUAGCGCACUGGUGAGUAACACGUGGGAACGUACCUUUUGGUGGGGGACAACAUCUGGAAACGGAUGCUAAUACCGCAUAAGACCUGAGGGUGAAAGAUUUAUCGCCGAAAGAACGGCCCGCGGAAGAUUAGGCAGGUUGGUGGGGUAAAGGCCUACCAAACCUACGAUCUAUAGC